rnacentral:rRNA from 1 species
UAUUAAAAUUUAGUGUUAAAUAUAGUUAAUAGAAAUAAUUUUAUAAAUAAUAUAUUUUAGUAAUGUUUAAUGAAAAAAUAAAAGUAAUUAUAGUGAAGUAGUAUUGUAUAAGAAAUAAAUAUAAUUUUUAAAAAGUAAAAUUAAGUUUUUGUACCUUGUGUAUCAGGGUUUAUAAAUAUAGGUUAAGUAAAUUGAUUUUCUCGAAUUUAAAGGAGUUAAUGUAUUAUUAUUGUUUUUGUAGCAAAAAUAUAUUUAAUUAUUUAUUAGUAAUGAAAAGUUAUUCGUCUUUAAAUAUAUCUAGUUAAUUUAGAAAUGAAUUUAAUUCAAUGUUAAAAUUUUAAUAGUUUAUUUAUAUGAGAUUAUUAAAGUUUAAUAGUACUAAUUAAAGGGAUUAGCUUUUAAUUAAAAUUUUAAAAAUGUUAUUUUUAAUAUAAAAAUAUAGGUUUAGAAAUAGUCAAUAAUUAUAAUUUGUUAUAAUUAAUUUAAGUUUAUAAGAAGAUUUUAUAAUAUUUUAAGUUUUUAUAAAUUAUUAGUUUUUAAUAAUAUGAAAUUAGUUAUAAUGAUAGAAUUAGUAUAAAUAUAUAUUUAUGAAUAUAUAAUAAAAAUAGAUUAAGUUAAGGAAUUAGGCAAAUAUAUUAUUCGCUUGUUUAUCAAAAACAUCGCUUUUAGAAAAAAAUUUAAAGUUUGACCUGCCCACUGAAUUUUAAAUGGCCGCAGUAAUUUGACUGUGCAAAGGUAGCAUAAUCAUUAGUUUUUUGAUUGAAAACUUGUAUGAAAGGUUGGACGAAAUAAAAACUGUCUUAAUUUGAUUUAAAGUAGAAUUUAAUUUUUAAGUGAAAAAGCUUAAAUAUUUAUAAUAGACGAGAAGACCCUGUAGAUCUUUAUAAUAUAUAUUUAAGUUAGAUUUAGUUUAGGGUUUAAUUUAAAUAGAAAAUUAUUUUAUUGGGGUAAUAGAGAAAUUUUAUAAAUUUUCUUUUAAAGAACAUUAAUUAAUGAUUAAUUGAUCUUUUAUUAUGGAGAGUAAGAUUAAGUUACCUCAGGGAUAACAGCGUAAUUUUUUUGGAGAGUUCAUAUUGAUAAAAAAGUUUGCGACCUCGAUGUUGGAUUAAAGAUAAUUUUAGGUGUAGAAGUUUAAUAAAUUUAGGUCUGUUCGACCUUUAAAUCUUUACAUGAUCUGAGUUCAGACCGGUGUAAGCCAGGUCGGUUUCUAUCUUUAUUUAAAUUUAAAUAUUUUAGUACGAAAGGACCAAGUAUUUAAUAUAGAUUAUUUAUGAUAAUUAUGAAUAUUAUU